rnacentral:misc_RNA from 1 species
GAUGAAGAACGCAGCGAAAUGCGAUAAGUAAUGUGAAUUGCAGAAUUCAGUGAAUCAUCGAAUCUUUGAACGCACAUUGCGCCCGCCAGUAUUCUGGCGGGCAUGCCUGUUCGAGCGUCAUUUCAACCAUCAAGCCCCAGGCUUGUGUUGGGGACCUGCGGCUGCCGCAGGCCCUGAAAACCAGUGGCGGGCUCGCUGUCACACCGGGCGUAGUAGAUUUUAUCUCGCUCAGGGCGUGCUGCGGGUUCCGGCCGUUAAAAAGCCUUUUUUACCCAAGGUUGACCUCGGAUCAGGUAGGAAGACCCGCUGAACUUAAGCAUAUCAAUGAGCGGAGGA